GCCCUGGUAGUCUAGUGGCCUAGGAUACAAGCCUGUCGCGCUUGGGACCCGGGUUCAAAUCCCGGCCAGGGCG
rnacentral:tRNA from 1 species